GUAGUGGGGAUCUCGCCGAUAGGAGGGGAUACUACUGGAAACGGUGGCUAAUACCGCAUAAUGUCUACGGACCAAAGCAGGGGCUCUUCGGACCUUGCACUAUCGGAUGAACCCAUAUGGGAUUAGCUAGUAGGUGGGGUAAAGGCUCACCUAGGCGACGAUCUCUAGCUGGUCUGAGAGGAUGAUCAGCCACACUGGGACUGAGACACGGCCCAG
rnacentral:rRNA from 1 species